GAUUGAUUUCUUUGGCAGGCGAGGGCAGAAGAGGUUUGCUUCUCCCUGGAAUGAAAACGAUAUUUUUCUUCAGAGCAGAAGCAGGUGCCCCUCGAGAUCAGGAUACUGCAAACUGCCCCGAGGGGGUACGUGUUUGUGCCUGCUGAAGGAAUCUGGAGCAAACCACAUCCAUCCCCAGCCCUCUCGUGUAGCUGCAUGACAUGGAUGGAGAUAACCAACAGGAACUCCACAAGAGGCAGCCCUGAUAAACUGUGUUGUUCUGUGUCUGCAAUUCUGAACAUAUCUUGUGACAGGGUGCAAGAGAGGAGGCCCAGCCUUGAGCGAGUUCCAGCACUUCACGAAAAGCACGUAGUAAUAGCAGAGAGACUCGAACUUCCUCAAGGCAAGGACCUUUUCUGCCACGUCCCCCAGCCUGGCAGGUAACUGCUGCCCCUGUAAUAAGGAGCACAUGAAAGAGAAUCAGGCCUCAACUGCAGGGAAAAGGUUCAACGCAUCUUCUAGGGGAGCCAGUGCUAUGGAAACCAGAGGGUAAAAGCAUCUACGAGUGUCUCUGCUUGAGAUACAUGUUGUAUCAUCUUACGCACCGUGUGGAAUAAUAAAAAAACAUAUGCUCGUGAGCAAAUAAAC